AGCGAACGCUGGCGGCAGGCCUAACACAUGCAAGUCGAACGAAGUCUUCGGACUUAGUGGCGGAUGGGUGAGUAACACGUGGGAACGUGCCUUUAGGUUCGGAAUAACUCAGGGAAACUUGUGCUAAUACCGAAUGUGCCCCUCGGGGGAAAGAUUUAUCACCUUUAGAGCGGCCCGCGUCUGAUUAGCUAGUUGGUGAGGUAAGGGCUCACCAAGGCUACGAUCAGUAGCUGGUCUGAGAGGAUGACCAGCCACAUUGGGACUGAGACACGGCCCAAACUCCUACGGGAGGCAGCAGUGGGGAAUCUUGCGCAAUGGGCGAAAGCCUGACGCAGUCAGGCCGCGUGAAUGAUGAAGGUCUUAGGAUUGUAAAAUUCUUUCACCGGGGACGAUAAUGACGGUACCCGGAGAAGAAGCCCCGGCUAACUUCGUGCCAGCAGCCGCGGUAACAC
rnacentral:rRNA from 1 species